AGAGGCAGGAAGCGAAACGGGGAGGGAGGGGGGAUAUGGCAAAUCCCACCCCAGCCCCUCCUGGCCUGGCACCCCUCCCAAACGGUGCACGGAAGAGUGAGGUGACUGGCAUGUGUGGGGACAACACGAUUCUCCUCCCUGGGGAGCAGAGCAGAGGCAACCCAUCCCCCACUCCCACCCCCACACUCCCCUAAGUUCCAAUCCAUUUCCACCUCUGUUUACUGUCCAAAGUCCCGGGCACUGGAGAUGCCACGUUUGGCGUGCUUGGACACAUAGACACGCAGACACAGAGACACCGGGGCCCAGGGCCCUCCUAUGGACCCUGCCCGCUCCCCUCCCAUUGUCCACGGCUGUCCACCCACCCCCAUUCUCCAAGCUUCAGCCCCCCUCCUUAGUUCGGCACCUGCAAAGCACUGAAGAACCUGGGAGUCAGACCCUGCGACCCUGAGCAAUCCCAGGUCCAGCGCCAGCCCUAUCAUGACCAAGGAGUAUCAAGACCUUCAGCAUCUGGACAAUGAGGAGAGUGACCACCAUCAGCUCAGAAAAGGGCCACCUCCUCCCCAGCCCCUCCUGCAGCGUCUCUGCUCCGGACCUCGCCUCCUCCUGCUCUCCCUGGGCCUCAGCCUCCUGCUGCUUGUGGUUGUCUGUGUGAUCGGAUCCCAAAACUCCCAGCUGCAGGAGGAGCUGCGGGGCCUGAGAGAGACGUUCAGCAACUUCACAGCGAGCACGGAGGCCCAGGUCAAGGGCUUGAGCACCCAGGGAGGCAAUGUGGGAAGAAAGAUGAAGUCGCUAGAGUCCCAGCUGGAGAAACAGCAGAAGGACCUGAGUGAAGAUCACUCCAGCCUGCUGCUCCACGUGAAGCAGUUCGUGUCUGACCUGCGGAGCCUGAGCUGUCAGAUGGCGGCGCUCCAGGGCAACGGCUCAGAAAGGGCCUGCUGCCCGGUCAACUGGGUGGAGCACGAGCGCAGCUGCUACUGGUUCUCUCGCUCCGGGAAGGCCUGGGCUGACGCCGACAACUACUGCCGGCUGGAGGACGCGCACCUGGUGGUGGUCACGUCCUGGGAGGAGCAGAAAUUUGUCCAGCACCACAUAGGCCCUGUGAACACCUGGAUGGGCCUCCACGACCAAAACGGGCCCUGGAAGUGGGUGGACGGGACGGACUACGAGACGGGCUUCAAGAACUGGAGGCCGGAGCAGCCGGACGACUGGUACGGCCACGGGCUCGGAGGAGGCGAGGACUGUGCCCACUUCACCGACGACGGCCGCUGGAACGACGACGUCUGCCAGAGGCCUUACCGCUGGGUCUGCGAGACAGAGCUGGACAAGGCCAGCCAGGAGCCACCUCUCCUUUAAUUUAUUUCUUCAAUGCCUCGACCUGCCGCAGGGGUCCGGGAUUGGGAAUCCGCCCAUCUGGGGACCUCUUCUGCUUUCUCGGGAAUUUUCAUCUAGGAUUUUAAGGGAAGGGGAAGGAUAGGGUGAUGUUCCGAAGCAAACAGAAGCAGCGUUCAUAGACAGGUAGCAGAUACAACGAACACACAACCAAAAUCACCAAACAUACUAGGAAAACCAGUACUGCGGAACAGAAGCAACAAAGCGGAUAGAAUCAACAACCAAGGAUGGGAGUUAGGACAAACCGAUUCAGACACGGAACUGUGAACAAAAAUUGCCAAAGUAUUCACCCAUAAACAAGACCUCAAGUGAUUCCUAAAAGGAGCAAUGCUCUGACCACAGUAAAAUAAAGUUAGAAAUGAACGUGAAAGUACAGCC